AGUGAACGCUGGCGGUAGGCCUAACACAUGCAAGUCGAACGGCAGCACAGUAAGAGCUUGCUCUUACGGGUGGCGAGUGGCGGACGAGUGAGGAAUACAUCGGAAUCUACUUGUUCGUGGGUGAUAACGUAGGGAAACUUACGCUAAUACCGCAUACGACCUACGGGGGAAAGCAGGGGAUCUUCGGACCUUGCGCGAUUGAAUGAGCCGAUGUCGGAUUAGCUAGUUGGCGGGGUAAAGGCCCACCAAGGCGACGAUCCGUAGCUGGUCUGAGAGGAUGAUCAGCCACACUGGAACUGAGACACGGUCCAGACUCCGACGGGAGGCAGCAGCGGGGAAUAUUGGACAAUGGGCGCAAGCCUGAUCCAGCCAUACCGCGUGGGUGAAGAAGGCCUUCUGGUUGUAAAGCCCUUUUGUUGGGAAAGAAAAGCAGCAGGUUAAUCCCCCGCUGUUCUGACGGUACCCAAAGAAUAAGCACCGGCUAACUUCGUG
rnacentral:rRNA from 1 species